rfam:Planctomycetes bacterium RBG_16_64_12 RBG_16_scaffold_3514, whole genome shotgun sequence.
CCCAGGGCGUUGCCCUGGGCUAUCAUAUCUCAGCCCUUCGGGCUG